CAGUCGCCACGGUAAUACGGAGGGUGCAAGCGUUAAUCGGAAUUACUGGGCGUAAAGCGUGCGUAGGCGGUUUGUUAUGUCUGUUGUGAAAUCCCCGGGCUCAACCUGGGAAUGGCAAUGGAUACUGGCAAGCUAGAGUGUGUCAGAGGAUGGUGGAAUUCCCGGUGUAGCGGUGAAAUGCGUAGAGAUCGGGAGGAACAUCAGUGGCGAAGGCGGCCAUCUGGGACAACACUGACGCUGAGGCACGAAAGCGUGGGGAGCAAACAGGAUUAGAUACCCCGGUAGUCCCUGUCUCUUAUAC
rnacentral:rRNA from 1 species